rnacentral:piRNA from 1 species
UUUUUCAUUUUCAAUAAUUCG